AAGAAAGGGUCUAGACCCCACACACGCCACUCGGUAAGGAAUUGGGCCUAUAGCUCAGCUGGCUAGAGCACACGACUGAUAAUCGUGAGGUCAGUGGUUCGAGUCCACUUGGGCCCACCAAAUGGGGCUGUAGCUCAGUUGGGAGAGCACCUGCUUUGCAAGCAGGGGGUCACCGGUUCGAGACCGGUCAGCUCCACCACAGGGAUGGAAGGCCCGCAAAGAGCGCGGGCUGGUCGCUGGGGAAGCGGUAUGGAAGUGAUUUGGGAUUGGAUUUUUAGUGUGUAGUGCUGAAUGACGCUUUACGGAUGUAGGAAGUUAAAAGGCGCUAUUGAUCACUGCCCACUCGGAAGAUUUGAGUGCGUUAGUUUGUUCUUUGACAGUUGAGGAAGGGAAGGCCAUGUUUGCCAUCUUGCCGAUGGCGGACCUCCAGGUGGAUGCUUGGGGAUAUAU
rnacentral:tRNA from 1 species